rnacentral:rRNA from 1 species
CCCUACGGGGCGCAGCAGGCGCGAAAACUUUACAAUGCGGGAAACCGUGAUAAGGGGACACCGAGUGCUAGCAUCAUAUGCUAGCUGUCCAGGCGUGUAAACUACGCCUGUUAGCAAGGGCCGGGCAAGACCGGUGCCAGCCGCCGCGGUAACACCGGCGGCCCGAGUGGUAAUCGUGAUUAUUGGGUCUAAAGGGUCCGUAGCCGGUUUGGUCAGUCCUCCGG